rnacentral:rRNA from 1 species
UACAGAGGUCCCGAGCGUUGUUCGGAUUCAUUGGGCGUAAAGGGUGCGUAGGCGGCGGGGCAAGUCUGAUGUGAAAUCCUGGGGCUCAACCCUGGAACUGCAUUGGAUACUGCCUUGCUAGAGAACUGGAGAGGAGACUGGAAUUUACGGUGUAGCAGUGAAAUGCGUAGAUAUUGGGAAGAACACCUGAGGCGAAGGCGGGUUGCUGGGCUGACACUGACGCUGAGGCGCGAAAGCCAGGGGAGCAAACGGG